rnacentral:tRNA from 1 species
GUUCCUAUAGCUCAGCCGGCAGAGCAACAGACUCUUAAUCUGUGGGUCCUCGGUUCGAUCCCGAGUGGGAACACCA